GAUGAACGCUGGCGGCGUGCCUAAUACAUGCAAGUCGAGCGAACGGACGAGAAGCUUGCUUCUCUGAUGUUAGCGGCGGACGGGUGAGUAACACGUGGAUAACCUACCUAUAAGACUGGGAUAACUUCGGGAAACCGGAGCUAAUACCGGAUAAUAUUUUGAACCGCAUGGUUCAAAAGUGAAAGACGGUCUUGCUGUCACUUAUCGAUGGAUCCGCGCUGCAUUAGCUAGUUGGUAAGGUAACGGCUUACCAAGGCAACGAUGCAUAACCGAGCUGAGAGGGUGAUCGGCCACAUGGGAACUGAGACACGGUCCAGACUCCUACGGGAGGCAGCAGUAGGGAAUCGUCCGCAAUGGUCGAAAGCCUGACGGAGCAACGCCGCGUGAGUGAUGAAGGUCUUCGGAUCGUAAAACUCUGUUAUUAGGGAAGAACAUAUGUGUAAGUAACUGUGCACAUCUUGACGGUACCUAAUCAGAAAGCCACGGCUAACUACGUG
rnacentral:rRNA from 1 species